UUGAAGAGUUUGAUCAUGGCUCAGAUUGAACGCUGGCGGCAGGCUUAACACAUGCAAGUCGAGCGGAAACGAUUCUAGCUUGCUAGAAGGCGUCGAGCGGCGGACGGGUGAGUAAUGCAUGGGAAUCUGCCCGAUAGUGGGGGACAACCUGGGGAAACUCAGGCUAAUACCGCAUACGUCCUACGGGAGAAAGCAGGGGAUCUUCGGACCUUGCGCUAUCGGAUGAGCCCAUGUCGGAUUAGCUUGUUGGUGAGGUAACGGCUCACCAAGGCGACGAUCCGUAGCUGGUCUGAGAGGAUGAUCAGCCACACUGGGACUGAGACACGGCCCAGACUCCUACGGGAGGCAGCAGUGGGGAAUAUUGGACAAUGGGCGAAAGCCUGAUCCAGCAACGCCGCGUGAGGGAUGACUGCCUUCGGGUUGUAAACCUCUUUCAGCAGGGAAGAAGCGAAAGUGACGGUACCUGCAGAAGAAGCACCGGCUAACUACGUGCCAGCAGCCGCGGUAAUACGUAGGGUGCGAGCGUUGUCCGGAAUUAUUGGGCGUAAAGGGCUCGUAGGCGGUUUGUCGCGUCGGGAGUGAAAACUCAGGGCUUAACUCUGAGCUUGCUUCCGAUACGGGCAGACUAGAGGUAUGCAGGGGAGAACGGAAUUCCUGGUGUAGCGGUGAAAUGCGCAGAUAUCAGGAGGAACACCGAUGGCGAAGGCAGGUCUCUGGGCCACUACUGACGCUGAGAAGCGAAAGCAUGGG
rnacentral:rRNA from 1 species